UGGGACUAUUAUUGAUGCUGGUUAG
rnacentral:misc_RNA from 1 species